AGAGUUUGAUCCUGGCUCAGGAUGAACGCUAGCGGCAGGCUUAACACAUGCAAGUCGAGGGGUAGAGGUUGCUUGCAACCUUGAGACCGGCGCACGGGUGCGUAACGCGUAUGCAACCUACCUUUUACAGAGGGAUAGCCCAGAGAAAUUUGGAUUAAUACCUCAUAGUAUAUAUCUUUCGCAUGUUAGGUAUAUUAAAGUUCCAACGGUAAAAGAUGGGCAUGCGUCCUAUUAGCUAGAUGGUAAGGUAACGGCUUACCAUGGCUACGAUAGGUAGGGGUCCUGAGAGGGAGAUCCCCCACACUGGUACUGAGACACGGACCAGACUCCUACGGGAGGCAGCAGUGAGGAAUAUUGGACAAUGGGCGCAAGCCUGAUCCAGCCAUGCCGCGUGCAGGAAGAAGCAUCUAUGGUGUGUAAACUGCUUUUGUACAGGAAGAAACAUCCCGACGUGUCGGGACUUGACGGUACUGUAAGAAUAAGGAUCGGCUAACUCCGUGCCAGCAGCCGCGGUAAUACGGAGGAUCCAAGCGUUAUCCGGAAUCAUUGGGUUUAAAGGGUCCGUAGGCGGUUUGGUAAGUCAGUGGUGAAAGCCCGCAGCUCAACUGUGGAACGGCCAUUGAUACUGCCAGACUUGAAUUACAAGGAAGUAACUAGAAUAUGUAGUGUAGCGGUGAAAUGCUUAGAUAUUACAUGGAAUACCAAUUGCGAAGGCAGGUUACUACUUGUGGAUUGACGCUGAUGGACGAAAGCGUGGGGAGCGAACAGGAUUAGAUACCCUGGUAGUCCAA
rnacentral:rRNA from 1 species